UCCUCAGAGUUAAUUGUCUGAAGUGGUUUGGAAACCUGAGAAGCUGAAGUCCUGAACACCUUUCUCCUUCUUCUUGGUAGAAAGAUGGCACUUGUGUGACUCGUUGGCUACAAGUGGAACUGCACACAAAACUGCCAUGAGAGCUAGAAAAUCAUCUGGCAGGUGGAUGGGGCUCAUGCACAAGAGAAUUGAUAGUGUGGAUGCAAAGCUGAUGUUCUUGACAGCCAAGGUCAUUCCUGAAGCUGAUCCACCAAAACACAACGAGGAAAUCAAUUUUCUAUGAGAGAUACGAGUGUCCAGUUGCACAACACUGAUGAGAUGGCUGUGCUAACUCUUCAAACCUAAUACCCAGUGUCAUGGGCGUGGAAACAAAAGCCAGUUACAGCACAAGUUUCUUUGGCUGGUGUUAAAAGCAACCAGCAUAAAACUGCAACUUGAAAAGCUUUUAAGCCUUUCUCAAAUAAAGUGGAUAUAAACUGA